rnacentral:rRNA from 1 species
UACGUAGGGAGCAAGCGUUGUUCGGAUUUACUGGGCGUAAAGGGCGCGUAGGCGGCGCGGUAAGUCACUUGUGAAAUCUCUGAGCUUAACUCAGAACGGCCAAGUGAUACUGCAGUACUUGAGUACGAAAGAGGAUCGCGGAAUUCCCGGUGUAGAGGUGAAAUUCGUAGAUAUCGGGAGGAACACCAGUGGCGAAGGCGGCGAUCUGGGUCGAUACUGACGCUGAGGCGCGAAAGCGUGGGGAGCAAACAGG